GACGUAGGGUGCGAGCGUUGUUCGGAAUUACUGGGCGUAAAGGGCUCGUAGGCGGCCAACUAAGUCCGACGUGAAAUCCCAAAGCUUAACUUUGGAACUGCGUCGGAUACUGGAUGGCUUGAAUUCGGGAGAGGGAUGCAGAAUUCCAGGUGUAGCGGUGAAAUGCGUAGAUAUCUGGAGGAAUACCGGUGGCGAAGGCGGCAUCCUGGACCGACAUUGACGCUGAGGAGCGAAAGCUAGGGGAGCAAACGGG
rnacentral:rRNA from 1 species